rnacentral:rRNA from 1 species
ACGGGGAUUGCUUAUUGCACCACAUGUGUUUUUUAUUGAACAAAUUUCUUUGGUGGCGGGAGCAAUCCUACCGCCAGAGGUUAUAACUAAACCAAACUUUUUAUUUACAGUCAAACUUGAUUUAUUAUUACAAUAGUCAAAACUUUCAACAACGGAUCUCUUGGUUCUCGCAUCGAUGAAGAACGCAGCGAAAUGCGAUACGUAAUAUGAAUUGCAGAUAUUCGUGAAUCAUCGAAUCUUUGAACGCACAUUGCGCCCUUUGGUAUUCCAAAGGGCAUGCCUGUUUGAGCGUCAUUUCUCCCUCAAACCCCCGGGUUUGGUGUUGAGCAAUACGCUAGGUUUGUUUGAAAGAAUUUAACGUGGAAACUUAUUUUAAGCGACUUAGGUUUAUCCAAAAACGCUUAUUUUGCUAGUGGCCACCACAAUUUAUUUCAUAACUUUGACCUCAAAUCAGGUAGGACUACCCGCUGAACUUAAGCAUAUCAAUAAGCGGAGGAA